AAAAAUGUAGUCUCCUAAUUCUGCUGAGUAAGUUGUCAACAGGAAGGUAGAGGUCAGCAUGACCAACUGCUGAGCUACUGUGCUAGCGAGAAAAGGAAAGGCCCUUCCACUUCCCUUUUCAGUUAGAGAUGGUUCAAAAAUGAAUCUUUUCAGGUUUUCCAAAACUGAACUCUCAGCCUUUCUAUGUCAUGAAAAAUGUUACACUUUUGUUCCACUUCAGUGAGAAAUGCAUUUUAAAAAAUCUUGCUUAUAUUUAUUUGAACUUCUAUAUAUGGAAAUACUGAUUUCUGGCCACCCAGGAAAUGAUGCUGAUGUAGUGUAUCUUUAAGGUAACAGCACACAGAAAACAUCCAUAGGUGAAAUGAUGUCCUUAAAUCAAGACCUUCCAGUGUUUAGGAUGAGACAAAGACACUAAGUCUCGUGUGAUUUUUUUUUUCCUUUUUUUUUUUUUUUUUCCCCAGAUGUAUUUCAUUAUUUUCCUAAGGUUAAAAAAACCUACAGAAUAAGGUCUGCAGCUCUAAGCAUCAUAUAUAUGAGAUGGAAAUGUCUUAAAUAACCUCAGACAGGCUUGCUAGAGCUUAUUUGUCAGAGUCCUUGUCUUGAGAGUGAUGAUUGAGGCAUUGAGGAAUGUGUGUGACAGGCUGCCAGAAAGUGGGGACAGGGGAAGCAUUAUCCCUAUUUCAAGCCAACACAGGUGCUUCCAAGGUUCAGCUCUCAUGGACUGGACAAUACCCUGAAUAAUGUGAUCUAGCUGGAACUGCUUUGAGCAGGAAGUUGGACUUGAUAACCCCCCAAAAUUUCUUCCAAGCUUUAUUAUUCUAAGAUAAAUUCAGCAGCACUGUAUUGUAGGGGAUUUGCUGGAGACCAUAUAUGGAAUCUGUAACAGAAUCUGGGACAUCCUGCAUCCUGCCACAGAAUGAGGCUGAGACAGGCCCUAAGGCUGUUUCUUUUGUCCUCCAGUUCGCAUCAGUAUAUGUGAAGAUUGUGCUAAACUGGUCUGAAGAGCCUGCAAAAACCAAGCAGAUGGUUUGAUUUGCAGCAGGAAAGAAAAAAGUGGGGAAAAAAGCCAUGGCUCUUGCAGUUUGAGAAGAGGCCCUCCAUUGAAAAUUGAUCUUUCUUAGUAAGUUAUCUCUCAGUACCUAAAUAGUCCUAUAUUUCCUUGCCCAUCUCCUAGAUAUGG
rnacentral:lncRNA from 1 species